AUUUAGCCCGGAUGGGAGCGGCAUCCUUUUGUGUAGCGAAGCGGAAUAAAAGAUAUAGCGGACAGCCGGAUUAGCU
rnacentral:sRNA from 1 species